CUGGGAAGUUCGGUGUUGCUUUCCCGAGGUCCAAGCCCCGAGGCAGAUGCCCAGCCGCUCUUCAGGGGACCUUGGGAGCUGUAACUUGGAGGAAUCUCAGGCUGCGGAACCGAUGUCAGGCCCUGUACCUUCAGCAUUAUGGCCAAGGUUCUUCAUAUGACUGUUCAGGAAACCAUGCUUCCAGAAUCUUCUGUCCAUUUUCA